rnacentral:rRNA from 1 species
UAAGGAAUAUUGGUCAAUGGACGCAAGUCUGAACCAGCCAUGCCGCGUGAAGGAUGAAGGUCCUCUGGAUUGCAAACUUCUUUUAUCUGGGACGAAAACGGGAUUUUUAUCUCAAUUGACGGUACCAGAGGAAUAAGCACCGGCUAACUCCGUGCCAGCAGCCGCGGUAAUACGAAGGGUGCAAGCGUUACUCGGAAUUACUGGGCGUAAAGCGUGCGUAGGUGGUUGUUUAAGUCUGAUGUGAAAGCCCUGGGCUCAACCUGGGAAUGGCAUUGGAAACUGGGCAGCUAGAGUGCGGUAGAGGGUAGUGGAAUUCCCGGUGUAGCAGUGAAAUGCGUAGAGAUCGGGAGGAACAUCUGUGGCGAAGGCGACUGCCUGGACCAGCACUGACACUGAGGCACGAAAGCGUGGGGAGCAAACA